UCACCCCUCAAGCCCCGUGCUUGGUGUUGGACGGCCGGUCGAGCGAUCGACCCCUCCUAAAGACAAUGGCGGCGGCCUGUGGCUCCCCCGGUACACUGAGCUUUUAACUGAGCACGUAUCGGACAAGGGCACCCGGGACCCGGUCCUCUCCUUUAACUAGGAAACUUCUAA
rnacentral:misc_RNA from 1 species